rnacentral:rRNA from 1 species
CCUACGGGAGGCAGCAGUGAGGAAUAUUGGUCAAUGGUCGGGAGACUGAACCAGCCAAGCCGCGUGAGGGAUGAAGGUACAGAGUAUCGUAAACCUCUUUUGUCAGGGAACAAAGGCGGGGACGUGUCCCCGGCUGAGUGUACCUGAAGAAAAAGCAUCGGCUAACUCCGUGCCAGCAGCCGCGGUAAGACGGAGGAUGCGAGGGUUAUCCGGAUUUAUUGGGUUUAAAGGGUGCGCAGGCGGUCUGUUAAGUCAGCGGUAAAAGGCCGGGGCUAAACCGCGGCCCGCCGUUGAAACUGGCAGUCUCGAGUUGGAGAGAGGUAGGCGGAAUGCGCGGUGUAGCGGUGAAAUGCAUAGAUAUCGCGCAGAACUCCGAUUGCGAAGGCAGCAUGCCGGCUCCACACUGACGCUGAGGCACGAAAGCGUGGGUAUCGAACAGGAUUAGAUACCCUGGUAGUC